ACUCCCAGUGCAUACUUUUUUUUUUAUUGUGAAGGGCUUUCUCAAUGGUAGCUGCUACCGAAUGUAGUGCGGUCUCCACCGAUUUCCCUUUAGUAUAGGCAUGUUGGUUGGUUGACAUCAGUCCCCCUACCUCAUUCCUGCUGUGCAGAAGUCUCAAUGCAGUGCAGUGCAGUGCGGCUGCCUUGCUCGAUAAUGUGUUAUAAUUUUUUUCGUCCAUUCAGCUUUGACCGGCCAAUUAAUUGCACGCAAAAAUCGCGCUGACCCUGGCCGCAACUCAUUAACAUUGCGUUAGGCUGUCCAUCUGAUGUGCUGCUGAUCUCCGAUGCAGUUUCUAAUAAUAAAAGUCUGAUUAGCAUGGAAUUGGAUCGGUAACGAGGUGCAGGUGUCGUGUGUGGCUAUGCGAUGCUAAGCGAUGCUCUUUAUCAUUGCUACUUACAAUAUUUCAAACGAAAACAAGAAAGAAAGGCUAGCCGAAGUGUCAAGUACGACACGACCUAGACACAGACGCAGACCCAGUCCCAGUCCCAUGGGUGUUAUCUGAACGAUUUCCAUAUACACCAGUAAAGAAUCUUAUAAAUAAAGAGAUUAGCAGACCUCUUUCUGCUGCACCUUGACGACAUC
rnacentral:sRNA from 1 species